ensembl:lncRNA
AUACAAAAUGUGCAGUGUUGGGGGGUGCCCUGGACCAGGGUUGAGAAACACUGUUUUAUACAAAGCCACUUACGAAAGGGGAACAACGAAAUUCAUCAAAAGACAGACAUGAAUGAUCCUAUGAUUAUUGUUCAACAUGUAUAAUGUGACAGUCCUUUAAUUCUAAUUUCUGACUGAGUGACCUGCAUUUGAAGCCUUGCGACAUGAAAGCAGCAGUCCUUCAGUCCAUCAGUCUGGUGUUACUACGCUUUAAAUCAUCAGUUUCUCUCAUUGCAGAUCUUCCUCUCAGCCCAAGCUUUUAAAGCAAAGAGAAAGAACAAAUAACCAUCAUGAUGUGACAUCCAUGAUGUUUUCAGUCCUCGGCAAAGCCAUUUACUCUCCAUCAACAAAUACUUCUGCACUUCUUCCUCUUAAGGUGCCAAACUGUGGCUUUCUGCUCCCUUUCCAUUUCCGUCGUGCUUGUUGAAUGUUGUUCUUCGGCGGGGACAGAACCUGGAUCCCCCCCGCUGCUGGUAAUAGACGGCAGGGAUGCGUUCAGUCUUUCAGCCGGACCAGAAUCCCCUGCUUCAGCUGCUCAAUUACACCGCAGGCGUCUCCAUCCGCUCCUCCAAUUACACCACCGGCCCCCUUUAUUUACAAGCACGUGCAUACGUGAAGACAAAUUGCCUGGAGAUCACUCGGGCCUGCUGCAAUUUGGCCGUUUCUUCUGCUGAGAUGAAGCCACUGUUGAAUUAGUCGCUCAGGCUGAAGGAGCGUCACAUACUGCGCUUAGGCUUUCUGCUCCACUAUACAAUGUGAACGCUGAGUAUAUGUUAUAGCAUCCAUUGCUGACACACUGAUGCAGUGCUGCAUUUCUACAAACCUGAUGAAGAAACAAACUCAUAUGUAUACUCAUCUGAUGGCCUGAGGCUCAUGUGCUUGCCACAGACAGGAAGUGGAGUCAGCAGCUUCCUGUGUCUCAUGUUCUCAGAUCUUCUACCUGUCAGUCGAGGUAUGAAAGCAUGGCGAGCCAUCCAGGUGAAUUAAUGAUCCGUGACCUUCCCUCAAUUACGUCUCAUUACACCGCAGUCCCGAGGGAUUCUGGGACACAAUGGGAAGACAUGAGAAUUAAGAGUCGUCUCUGAAAGCCAAUCCUGCAGUCCGUCACUCAAAGAGCUGCUCUGUUCAGACAAAACCCUUCGUUUCGCUUCAUUUCUGAUUAUUGCUCUGUGUUCAGGGCACAUACUCACCGGAGUAAACAGUAAAACACAAGUGUUACUACAGUUCUCUCUGUAAAAAUCACAAUAAAUCAAUAAAGUUAGACACUUAAGUUAUGCUAAAGUAAAGCAUUAUCAGUAACUAAAAUUAAAACUAUUUAAAAAAAAACUAUUUAAAAAGUGAUAAAUAAAAAUAAAAUAUAUAUGAAAUAAAAAAGAUAAAUUAUAAAUAAUAUAAUAUAUAUAUGUGUGUGUGGUGUAUUUUUAAUAAUAGUGUAAGUGCUAAAAUGUAACUUUAAAAACACAUUUGUUUAAACUGAAAUUAAAAUAUAUAUCUAAUAAAUAUUAUAUAUUAAAUUAAUUUAAGCUUAUUUUAUUU